GCUUAACACAUGCAAGUCGAGGGGCAUCAGGAAGAAAGCUUGCUUUCUUUGCUGGCGACCGGCGCACGGGUGAGUAACACGUAUCCAACCUGCCCUUUACUCGGGGAUAGCCUUUCGAAAGAAAGAUUAAUACCCGAUGGCAUAAUGAUUCCGCAUGGUUUCAUUAUUAAAGGAUUCCGGUAAAGGAUGGGGAUGCGUUCCAUUAGGUUGUUGGUGAGGUAACGGCCCACCAAGCCUUCGAUGGAUAGGGGUUCUGAGAGGAAGGUCCCCCACAUUGGAACUGAGACACGGUCUAAACUCCUACGGGAGGCAGCAGUGAGGAAUAUUGGUCAAUGGGCGGUAGCCUGAACCAGCCAAGUAGCGUGAAGGAUGAAGGCUCUAUGGGUCGUAAACUUCUUUUAUAUAAGAAUAAAGUGCAGUAUGUAUACUGUUUUGUAUGUAUUAUAUGAAUAAGGAUCGGCUAACUCCGUGCCAGCAGCCGCGGUAAUACGGAGGAUCCGAGCGUUAUCCGGAUUUAUUGGGUUUAAAGGGAGCGUAGGUGGACUGGUAAGUCAGUUGUGAAAGUUUGCGGCUCAACCGUAAAAUUGCAGUUGAUACUGUCAGUCUUGAGUACAGUAGAGGUGGGCGGAAUUCGUGGUGUAGCGGUGAAAUGCUUAGAUAUCACGAAGAACUCCGAUUGCGAAGGCAGCUCACUGGACUGCAACUGACACUGAUGCUCGAAAGUGUGGGUAUCAAACAGGAUUAGAUACCCUGGUAGUCCACACAGUAAACGAUGAAUACUCGCUGUUUGCGAUAUACAGUAAGCGGCCAAGCGAAAGCAUUAAGUAUUCCACCUGGGGAGUACGCCGGCAACGGUGAAACUCAAAGGAAUUGACGGGGGCCCGCACAAGCGGAGGAACAUGUGGUUUAAUUCGAUGAUACGCGAGGAACCUUACCCGGGCUUAAAUUGCAGUGGAAUGAUGUGGAAACAUGUCAGUGAGCAAUCACCGCUGUGAAGGUGCUGCAUGGUUGUCGUCAGCUCGUGCCGUGAGGUGUCGGCUUAAGUGCCAUAACGAGCGCAACCCUUAUCUUCAGUUACUAACAGGUCAUGCUGAGGACUCUGGAGAGACUGCCGUCGUAGGAUGUGAGGAAGGUGGGGAUGACGUCAAAUCAGCACGGCCCUUACGUCCGGGGCUACACACGUGUUACAAUGGGGGGUACAGAAGGCAGCUAGCGGGUGACCGUAUGCUAAUCCCAAAAGCCUCUCUCAGUUCGGAUCGAAGUCUGCAACCCGACUUCGUGAAGCUGGAUUCGCUAGUAAUCGCGCAUCAGCCACGGCGCGGUGAAUACGUUCCCGGGCCUUGUACACACCGCCCGUCAAGCCAUGGGAGCCGGGGGUACCUGAAGUACGUAACCGCAAGGAUCGUCCUAGGGUAAAACUGGUGACUGGGGCUAAGAC
rnacentral:rRNA from 1 species